GGAAGUCAUCCGGCUGGAUGAGGAGCCUGCCUUGAACGCAGGUGGCGGCGAAAACCGCGUGUGAGUUCGAGUCUCACGGCUUCCG
rnacentral:tRNA from 1 species